AAACUCUCGACGGAAGAUCCGCAAACCCCAGGAACUCUCCUCAAUAGCCUUAGAACAUUGACCGAAUGAAAAAGAAAAGCACUGAGUGGGCUAAAGGGAACCAUUCACCGUCACUGACUGCUAUGUCUUUUAGUGACCCAGGCAACAGAAGGGGGACUCUCAUAAACCACAAAGGAAAAUAAAUAACCUCACCCAUGGAGGGAAAGAGACAGCUUGAGAAAAGGGACUUUGGAAAAAGGCUCUCUCUAGAUAGCAGUCUCAUGGUAAGUACUGGAUAUUCAUUUACCGCUAUGUGUUUUGGCUUAAAAUGCAUUAUUCUUUGAUGCUGAUUUCCUAAACCCUGUGCUUUUGAAACCCCUAUUCCAGUUACCCCCUUAGCAAUAUCCCCUGAGAUUUUGUUUUGCUCAUGUUUUAUAAGGUCAAAAGCUAGAACAUUAUGGGAAUGUUUGUAUAGUGUCCUAAUAAGUAAAUGUCAUAAUCUCUCAGCAUUAUGUAUGAUUACAUUAAUUCCAACUGAAGUAAGCUUAAACCCACACAAAAACACUACUGCAUGGCUGAUGCCAAAUGCCAGGCCGAUACACAGUUGUUCUAGCACCCAUUUAUCUUAAGGCUGGGGGUCCGUUGAACAAGACUUCGGCAGAAUUUCAGAUAUUGAAGAAUGAAGAAAAUCUCUGCCAUCUUAGGUAUGUAAAUUCAUCCUGUGGUCCAUAAACUUUCUUUCUGAGUUGAAUGCUGAUGGGCGUCAUUCUUAACAACUUGGUUGGGUUUGCUUUCCUGUAUGAGAACCUGGCGAGUCCAAGGAAAUAGAUGAAGUCACUGAUUUUUUUUUCUUUCUUUAUAUAUGUAUAUAUUUUUAGGGUUGCACCUGUGGCAUGUCGAAGUUUCUAGGCUAGGAGUCAAAUCAGAGCUACAGCUGCCAGCCUACACCACAGCCACAGCAACACCAGAUCUGAGUCGCAUCUGCGACCUACACCACAGCUCAUGGCAACACCAGAUCCUUAACCCACUGAGUGAGGCCAGGAUUGAAUCCACAUCCUCAUGGAUACUAGUCAGGUUUGUCACUGCUGAGCCACAACAGGAACUCCUUGAAGUCCCUGAUUUCUGAAGGUGGGCCCUUCCUUCCAGUCCAAGCUAAGAUACUGGAUAUUGACAUCACCUAUUCAAUGAUGCCUCUGAACAAAGUAAGAAAUCAAAUGAAGUGAGUCACUCCUUUCUCUCUUGGUCACCUACUCAAGAAGAAAUGGAUGUUGGAUGUUGUUUAUGGAUGCGCUUUUUUCAUUUGUGUACUUGUAGCCCCUGGCCCAGAGUUGUGAUUACAGUAGUUGUCCAAUAAAAUAUUUGCUGAAUUGAUUUAUCAGUUGCCCUUUUCCAAUUCUGCUGCUGUAGGUCUGGCUCUGUCAGGGUCUAAAUGAGCUAUUUACUCCAUGACUGCUGAGGUUUCCCAUCUCAAGCUCUUCACAGAUGGGAGUUUCUGGUAACUGAAAAAAGAAUUGCAUUAAAAUGCUGUGUCCAGGUCUUCUCUUGUUAUUAGAGUCAACUUCUGUGUCUCUGUGAGCUCUGCCUCUGCAUUCCUUCAGAGGCUGAGAACUCUUAGAGAAUUUUAAGUUCUUCUCCCAGUGGUUAUGCCCUCUUUUCAUCUCUGAGGUCUAUCUCUCCAGGUAGAGUGUGGUGAAAAUUGUGUGUGUGUGUGUGUGUGUGUGUGUGUGUGUUUAUAUGUCUAUACCCUUUGCAAUCUCUAGGGAAUCUUAGGAUAAAAGGAUAAUUUCUCAGCCUCUCCUUUUUUUCUUUACCAAGGAAAACACUUCUUACAAAUCAACCCACCAAUAGGGUCUGUCAUAUGUCUCACCAGAUGCUUACGUAGUAUAAUAGGAGCAGCACAGGAAAGUUUCUCUGAACCCCAAAGUAUCAUCCUUGCUGAUUAAUCCCUAAAACCUAAAUUCUGUCUUGGGGGCCAGAGAAAAUACAAAGACCCUGUAAAGCAAGCAUGCUAAGCUAUUGUCUUUCAAUCAUUCACAGUAGCACUCAUUAAUAGAAGGUCUUGGAUCAUUUCCAGAUGUCAGCCAGAUGAGCAGAAUUUCCUUGAGGCAGUUGGUAAACAAAAGAUUGCAGAGCACAGAGGGCUGGCCUGCAGUGCUGUGCUGGGGUGGGGGGAGAGGAGGGGAAGCAGAUUAUCAAGAGGGCACUGGGUAUCUGAAAAUCUGAGGAGUUGCAAUGAAAUUUUUGCCUUCCUUUAAAUUUUCCUUAGGGACAGGCUUGACUGUGAAUAUAAAGCUCGUUGUAUUACCUGUGCUGGCUGAAAACCCCAAACCAAACUUGUACUCCCAUUGGCUUGCAGCUCUACCCUGUGUAUUGUGGGGGCUGUGAAUCUGUUUCUUGGCUGACAGCAUUAAAGAAUGUUGAGAAAAUGAGAACUUUUUGCUUGGUACCACCUGAGAAAUGUUAUCCUGUUAAAUCUCCCUAAAUGAUGCUUAGGAGAGUUCUUAUACUAGCGAAAUGUCUUCCUUGUUUCCUAGAAGCAGACUGAGGAUGUUUAUUGGGAGAAUCCUGAAAACGAAAAUGCUCUUGCAUGACUGUGUGGCCCUGUGUACGAGGAUGCUUAGACGCCACUCAUCAUUAUACAGCUUAGGACAUGUGACUCAUUUUGCCUUCUAUUUUUACUGAUAGGUUCUUUCCUCAUAUAAGAUGCUGCUCCUGGGACAGUGGCAGGAACAGGGUUCUUGUCAAGUUGGUUCUGAGGGUGUGAUACCCACUGAAAGGCCCUUAAAGUGAAUUUUAUUGUGAUUGUCAGAGAGACUGACAGGGAGGAGAUGAAAGCUGACCGGCCUGUAAAGGACUUGAACCCAAUGCUGCACCCUCCUCUUUGGCUCCAGGCCGAAACCACACACAUAACUAGGCAAGAAGCAUACAAGGAUGAUUCUAGGACAAGGUUGCUGGGAAAUGUAAGGAAAAAAAAAAGAGAGAGAGAGAGAGAAAGAAACACCUAGCGCAGUUCCUGCUGUGGCAUAGUAGGUUAAGAAUCUGACGGCAGUAGCUCAGGUUGCUGCAGGGGCAUGGGUUCAAUCCAUGACCCGGGGCAGUGGGUUAAAGGAUCCAGUGUUGAUGCAUCUUCAGCUUGGAUUCAGUCCCUGGCCCAGGAACUUCCAUAUGCCCCAGGUAUGGCCAUAAAAGGAAUUAAAAAAAGAAGAAAUAUCACUCUUCAUUCCCAAGGCAUAUUUAUUUUACUUUAUUUUAUUCUAUAUUAUUUUUAAAUCAGGGAAUGCCAUAUCGGGAAUGGGUUUUCCAGUCCUCUCACUUUGCAGAAAAAUUAGUUAAUAAUCAGUGAGUUUAAAUGCUAUUCCUAAGGUUGCAAGACUAGGAUACAACCCAGAGUGGAAGUGAGGUUUCCCACCUGUCAUUUCAGUUCUUUGUCUUGCAUUCUCUAAUAAUAACCCAGUAAGAGACGACCCUUUAGAAAACUGAAGAGAGGAAAAAGAAACACAUUAAAUUCUUGUCUUGAAAUGCCGCUACAGUUGUCAUUAUGGCCCAUAUUUUUGAAAGUUAAAGGGUCCAGAGGUAAUUUCCACUUUCAUAUUAUGCAGGCAAAAAUUAGAAUGUAAUUAGAAUGUACUGCAAGAAUAAGGCCUUAUUACCAUAUAUAUAUAAUUUUUUUUCCCCUUUUUUGGCUUCCCUAUGGCAUAUGGAGUUCCUGGACCAGGGAUCAGAUCCGAGUUGCAGUUGCGACCUAUGCCACACUGCAGCAAUGCUGGGAUCCUUUAACCCACCAUGCCAAGUGCGGAUCAAACCUGCAUCCCAGCACUGCAGAGAUUUCAAUGAUCCCAUUGCACCACAGUGGGAACUCCUUCAUCCUGUUUUUUUAUUUUAUGUAAUCAAAUCAUGACUCUCCUGCAUCAAUUUUUAAAAUUUCACACCACAGAAUAAAAAAAAUACCCAUAGUCCAAAUACUGAAAAAAACCCUGGGGGAUGGGAGUUUGUGGUCCUUAGUCACAAUUGUGUGUGCAUGCCUGUGCGCAUACACUUGGGGACUGGAUAACACUGAAGUAUUCUUUGAUGUUGAUGAUUUUUUUACUUGAUAAGUCAUCCUUUUAAAGAAGAAAGUGACAGGUAAGUGAAACUGAAAUGAAAAAUAUGUUUCAAUGUGGGGGGUAGAGACCCUGAGAAAAAGACAAGCGACUCCACGUUUGCGUCCCCCAGUAGGAGUGUGCCGAGUAGCCUCUCAUUCACAGCAAGUACAGUCUUCUUUCCGAUAACAAUAGAAAUCACCCCAGAAAUCAGGGCCUCUUCUUGACCUAAAGCUCUUCAGCCCACCCCAGGAUGCUUUUUGAUCAGAAAAAGUCAGCAUUUCACACUGUGCCUUUUUAGUUGCCAGAAUCCUCCCCAGGCUGCAUGUAUAGCAAUUUGACACAUGUAGCUGUGAUAGCAUUUAGCUGAUGAGAAGGCCGGGGAGUGAAUUAUCUUUUUUACCAGCUCAUGUUUCAAGAGCAAAGCUUAUCUUUUAAUUUGAAGAAAAUACUUUUUUGCUCUUAAGCACAGAUUAGAGUAACAGUUUUUCA
rnacentral:lncRNA from 9 species